rnacentral:rRNA from 1 species
UACGGAGGGUGCAAGCGUUAUCCGGAUUCACUGGGUUUAAAGGGUGCGUAGGUGGGUUGAUAAGUCAGUGGUGAAAGCCCAUCGCUCAACGGUGGAACGGCCAUUGAUACUGCAAGACUUGAAUUAUUAGGAAGUAACUAGAAUAUGUAGUGUAGCGGUGAAAUGCUUAGAGAUUACAUGGAAUACCAAUUGCGAAGGCAGGUUACUACUAAUGGAUUGACGCUGAUGGACGAAAGCGUGGGUAGCGAACAGG